rnacentral:rRNA from 1 species
UAGGGAAUCUUCCGCAAUGGACGCAAGUCUGACGGAGCAACGCCGCGUGAGUGAAGAAGGAUUUCGGUUCGUAAAACUCUGUUGUUAGAGAAGAACAGCGCAUAGAGUAACUGUUAUGCGUGUGACGGUAUCUAACCAGAAAGCCACGGCUAACUACGUGCCAGCAGCCGCGGUAAUACGUAGGUGGCAAGCGUUGUCCGGAUUUAUUGGGCGUAACGCGAGCGCAGGCGGUAAAUUAAGUCUGAUGUGAAAGCCCCCGGCUCAACCGGUGAGGGUCAUUGGAAACUGGUUGACUUGAGUGCAGAAGAGGAGAGUGGAAUUCCAUGUGUAGCGGUGAUAUGCGUAGAUAUAUGGAGGUACACCAGUGGCGAAGGCGACUCUCUGAUCUGUAACUGACGCUGAGGCUCGAAAGCGUGGGUAGCAAACAGG